rnacentral:rRNA from 1 species
ACGAACGCUGGCGGCAAGCUUAACACAUGCAAGUCGAACGGACCGUAUACGCAGCUUGCUGCGUGUAUGGUUAGUGGCAGACGGGUGAGUAAUGCAUAGGAAUCUACCUAGUAGUAUGGGAUAGCCACUAGAAAUGGUGGGUAAUACUGUAUAAUCCCUGCGGGGGAAAGAUUUAUCGCUAUUAGAUGAGCCUAUGUCAGAUUAGCUAGUUGGUGGGGUAAUGGCCUACCAAGGCGGUGAUCUGUAGCUGGUCUGAGAGGAUGAUCAGCCACACUGGAACUGAGACACGGUCCAGACUCCUACGGGAGGCAGCAGUGGGGAAUAUUGGACAAUGGGCGCAAGCCUGAUCCAGCUAUGCCGCGUGAGUGAG